AGCCACUGGGGCUCCCAGCCUGGAGUGAGUGAGCCCGGUGCCCCCCCGGGCCUCCUCAGUGAGCUGAGGAGGCUCAGCAGUGCCUGCACGUCCCCUCGCCACAAUGUCAUGUGCCACCUCUUCAAAGGAGGGAUGUACCAGCUAGUGGACGUGACCUUGACUGCAAAGGGCGGCACGCAGCUGAUGUAAUGGUCGCUUAAGUGUUCACAAAUGCCUGAACACCCUGUCCUACCUGGUCCUACCUGGAUGCUGGCCUCAGUAAGCUCCUGGGCUCAUUGAAGAUGAACCUAGCAGUAGUAUUUACACCACUUGUUGUGUGCCCACUGUGGGCCCGGCGCCAUGCCGAGUGCUCUAUGGAUGUGAGAGAAACGGAGGCCCAGAAAGCAGAAAUGAUGUGUUAAGAUCACUCAUCAAGCUGAUGGUACAGAGAUGAGAACACUGAAGCAGUUUUUUCUAAAGAUAGCUGCCUGGCACAGUGGCUCACAUCUGUAGUCCCAGCAUUUGGGGAGGCCAAGGCAGGUGGAUCACUUGAGGCCAGGAAUUCAAGACCAGCAUGGCCAACAUGUGCUGGGAGAGAAAAGCAUACGACAUAGACAGGGAGGUCAAGCUCCACCACGCAGAUGAGGUGCAGGCCACCAGUCUUCCUCUGCCACAUCUCUUUCUGAAAAGGACUUCACAUUCACCCUUGCAAUCCAUGUGGGGACACUGUUGGAUAGGAGGCGUGGUCCCAGCGUGGUCUCCCUGUCUGGGCCUCUGCCUAUGCCAAAUGUUUGCCUUACGCUGCACACUCAAGAGGUUCCAUGUAUACAGAUGGGAAUUCCAGAGCUACAGAAAAGGCAGCAAGCACCAUGAUUUAAGCUAACCAGUGUGGAUUCACACCUUCCUCUCUCUCUAUCAGUGGCAGAACUACCAGCUAGAGUAAGAAGUGGUUGAUCCAGGACCUAAACAUUCUGGAAACUCUUGCCCACUUCUGGGAGAAAUGACCCAAUCCAUAGUACUAAGCACACCUUAACUUUCGUAGGACGCAGGCAAGUUGUCAUACCGUGUGCCUAAAUAUAGAAAAAUGAUCCACUGGACUAAUAAAGUGUUAAAUAAAA
rnacentral:lncRNA from 1 species